rnacentral:lncRNA from 1 species
UGUAUAUGAGUGUGUAUCUAUGUUUGUGUGUCUGUGCGUAUGUAUGUCUUUCUGUGUGUAAGUGUGGGGGCAUGCUUAUUCUCCUGUCUGGAUGGUGGUCUUUAUGAACAAAAGACAUGUGAAAGAUGCCUGCCCUUCCACGUGAUAAUCCAAGCUGAUCCCACUUUUGUUUUACUUGUUAAAAACGAGGAUAGGAAGAUACAAAUAUGGUCAAUGGCCUUGUCCUGGCUGUUCAUAGCUGACCGCCUGCCAGCUGUAUCCACCUCUGGCCUGUGACCUGGAGCCACAGCUGCUCAGAGAUGAGUAAGGAAGGCGCUCUUGGCUGGAAGCUUGUGGUUGGAAACCUUUCCUGCUAUUUCCUCCUCAAUGACCGAAAGACAUGCACUGGUCUCUCCUGUCCUGCCGGAGGACCCCUCUCCUUUCCACCUUCUUCCACAUGGCUUUCCCUCCUGGACUCUCCUUUUUAUAUGCUUUUGAAUAACAUGGAAGAGAUAAUGAAGAGACAAAAGUGACUGACAGGAACUUCACCGGGCAUGAGGGUUGGACUGUGUGAGCUCAUGAAAGGUGAGGGAAAGGCCCUCUGUGACCUUAAGCAGCUCUGCUGGACAUGGCCACCCCAGAAGGUAGGUCCUGGAGACAGCCUGUGUGUGUGUGUGUGUGUGUGUGUGUCUGUGUCUGACUGCAGGGGGAGGGGUUGUCCUUUGUAGGAUCUCAGGUGGGACCCAUCACAGCACUAGUAAAUUGUCACACCUGUGGGACAGGGAGGUCCACCAUCUUCCUCUUAAUCCAAGAGGCCAUUUGGACCAUGCACUCCUUGGUCACAUUGGCAAGUGGUCAUCCCAUUAGUGAGUGCUCACAGAGUACUCGCUUCAUGGCAGGGUUGGUGCUGAGGGCUUUGCCUACAUUAUUAUUAUUAUCAUUAUCGUUCCAGAAAACUUGUGAUAUGGCUUCUAUUACCAUUCCUAUUAAACAAGUGAGAAACGGUUACAUAAUGUUUCCAAAUCAUUGACCUGGAUUUAGGCUCUGACAACCUGGCUCCAAAGACCACCCUGUAAACCAUGGUGCUACACAUGUGUGUCUCUUCCUGGUAAAUGCCACCUCAGUCUUGCCAAAACAUAGGGAAACAGGAUUUCAGGUAAAAAGAUGGGAUAAAAAUAAAAGCACCCUUUUUAAAAAUAAUAUAUUUUUAGUUGUAGAUGGACACAAUACCUUUAUUUUAUUUAUUUUUAUGUGGUGCUGAGGAUCAAACCCAGUGCCUCUCACUUGCCAGGCAAGUGCUCUACCCCUGAGCCACAACCCCAGCCUGAAAGCAUGCUCCUUGAACUACAACUUCUUGACCAGGACCCAGGACCCAUCAGCCUGGGUAGUAUAGGAAUAAAGUCCAACCCAGUGCAAGGACAAGGUGCUGCGUUUUGUCCAUGUUCCACCCUGUUUGAAAAGUUUGGUGUGUCAGGGUCAAAGAGGUGGAGUAGGGCUCGGGACCUCUGCAUAAUCUGCUAGCCCUACUGGGAGAUUUUAGAAGCUUUACUGUGAAUUUUCACUAAUACCACUGGAACCCCCUAUGGGAUAAUAGGAACUUUGGGUUGGAUUGGUGCUGUGAAGAUUCGCACUGUGCUGGGCGUGGUGGUGCACAUGCCUGUAGUCCUAGAGACUCGCGAGGCUGAGACGGGAGGAUUGCUGAGUUCAAAGCCAGCCUCAGCAAAAAGGGAGAUGCUUUAUUUAGAGACUGUCUCUAAAUAAAAUACAAAAUAGGGCUGGGGAUAUGGCUCAGUAGUGGAAUGCCCCUGAGUUCAAUCCCUGGUACCAAAAAAAAAAAAAAAGAAGAUUCCCACCAUGCUUGGCUUCAUUCUCUGAAGAUUCACAAGUAGGGGAAACCGGAGCCCUUGCUUGGAGUGGCAAUAGCUCUGUUACUGAGCACAUUGCAUUGCAUUCGUACUUCAUUCCUAUGUGGACUGGAGGUAGGAAACGGCAGGAAGGCCUGAGCACCAGUGAACUGGAGGGUCUUGCAAGGGGGCUGCCAAAAGGACCCAUAUGCCAGUUUUAUCUUUCUGUGGCUGAGAUGUUCUUUUGCAGAUAGCAUUAGAGAAAGCAGUGAGCCGAGCAGGUGCUACUAGUGACUAGUGCUGUGGGGCAG